UACAGAGGUCCCAAGCGUUGUUCGGAUUCACUGGGCGUAAAGGGUGCGUAGGUGGCUUGGUAAGUUCGAUGUGAAAUCUCCAGGCUUAACCCGGAAAUGGCAUUGAAUACUAUUGAGCUGGAGGUUUGGAGGGGGGACUGGAAUUCUCGGUGUAGCAGUGAAAUGCGUAGAUAUCGAGAGGAACACCAGUGGCGAAGGCGAGUCCCUGGACAACACCUGACACUGAGGCACGAAAGCUAGGGGAGCAAACAGG
rnacentral:rRNA from 1 species